AGCUCCAAUAGCGUAUAUUAAAGUUGUUGCAGUUAAAAAGCUCGUAGUUGGAUUUGGGACGGGGGUCGCGCGGUCGGCCGCAAGGUCUGCUACUGUGCGGCCUCGUCAUUUACACUCUCGGAGACCCGUCGUGCACUUCGCUGUGCGCGGCGCGGGACUCGGGACGUUUACUUUGAAAAAAUUAGAGUGUUCAUAGCAGGCAGGCCGCCUGAAUAAUGUUGCAUGGAAUAAUAGAAUAGGACCUCGGUUCUAUUUUGUUGGUUUUCGGAAUUGAGGUAAUGAUUAAUAGGGACGGACGGGGGCAUUCGUAUUACGGUGUUAGAGGUGAAAUUCUGGGAUCAUCGUAAGACGAACUACAGCGAAAGCAUUUGCCAAGAAUGUUUUCAUUAAUCAAGAACGA
rnacentral:rRNA from 1 species